rnacentral:lncRNA from 1 species
UAAUCUCCAAAAGCUUUUGCUUAGUGUAGUUAUUUUGGGUGGGUUGAAGAAGGGGUUAAAGGUUGAGGUACAUACUCAAUUUUUAGUGUAGUUAAUUCCUUUCACAGUGGAACAAUAAUGGAGGAUGGGAAUGGGUUAAUUUGAUGGAGGAAGUGAGUGCAGGAGAAGAAACGUAGAGACGCAUGGUUUUUUAAUUUUUUUUUAAUUGAGAAAACUUCAAAUCUCAGCAAUAAUGGAGGAAAGGGAUGGUAGAUUUGAUGGAGGAAGAAGGGAGCAGUGGAGACAAGUCCACGGACGUUUUUAUUUUAUUUAUUUAUUAUUUAUUAUUUAUUAUUUUAUUUAUUUUAUUUAUUUUGUUUUUAAUAAUUAUUAAAAAUAGGAAAUAAAUAGAAAUAAAAUAUACAUGGUAAUAUUUAUUAAUUAACAUGGUAUGACCACAUCAGCUGCCACAUAAGGUGGUCAGCAAAUGUGGUCAAUUUUAUGUGUCUAAAUAGCAUUACUCUAUUAAAAUAGAGAAUUGAACCAGAUAUGAAACCUAAUUGUGGAAUUUAUGCUUUUCUAGUAUCAUAUUAUCAAAAAUUUUCUUCAAUGACAACACUUGGUUUUGAACUCUUCAUGGAUAUGUGUAAUCUAAAAGGUACAAUGAAACUGAAAAUUAAUGAGUACCAUUAACAUAAGUGUAAGUUUCCAUUCGACUUCACACAUGAACUAAACUUCAAAUUUCC